ACGGAGAGUUUGAUCCUGGCUCAGGAUGAACGCUGGCGGCGUGCUUAACACAUGCAAGUCGAACGAACCUUCGGGUUAGUGGCGGACGGGUGAGUAACGCGUGGGAAUCUGCCCUCAGGAGGGGGAUAACGGUUGGAAACGACCGCUAAUACCCCAUAUGCCGAGAGGUGAAACGAAAUUCGCCUGAGGAUGAGCCCGCGUCUGAUUAGCUAGUUGGUGGGGUAAAGGCCUACCAAGGCAUCGAUCAGUAGCUGGUCUGAGAGGAUGAUCAGCCACACUGGGACUGAGACACGGCCCAGACUCCUACGGGAGGCAGCAGUGGGGAAUUUUCCGCAAUGGGCGCAAGCCUGACGGAGCAACGCCGCGUGAGGGAUGAAGGCCUCUGGGCUGUAAACCUCUUUUCUCAAGGAAGAAGAACUGACGGUACUUGAGGAAUAAGCCACGGCUAAUUCCGUGCCAGCAGCCGCGGUAAUACGGGAGUGGCAAGCGUUAUCCGGAAUUAUUGGGCGUAAAGCGUCCGCAGGCGGCCUUGAAAGUCUGUCGUUAAAGCGUGGAGCUUAACUCCAUUUCGGCGGUGGAAACUACAAGGCUUGAGUGUGGUAGGGGCAGAGGGAAUUCCCGGUGUAGCGGUGAAAUGCGUAGAUAUCGGGAAGAACACCAGUGGCGAAGGCGCUCUGCUGGGCCAUAACUGACGCUCAUGGACGAAAGCUAGGGGAGCGAAAGGGAUUAGAUACCCCUGUAGUCCUAGCCGUAAACGAUGAACACUAGGUGUCGGGGGAAUCGACCCCCUCGGUGUCGUAGCUAACGCGUUAAGUGUUCCGCCUGGGGAGUACGCACGCAAGUGUGAAACUCAAAGGAAUUGACGGGGGCCCGCACAAGCGGUGGAGUAUGUGGUUUAAUUCGAUGCAACGCGAAGAACCUUACCAGGGUUUGACAUCCUGCGAAUCCCUUGGAAACUUGGGAGUGCCUUCGGGAGCGCAGAGACAGGUGGUGCAUGGCUGUCGUCAGCUCGUGUCGUGAGAUGUUGGGUUAAGUCCCGCAACGAGCGCAACCCACGUCUUUAGUUGCCAGCAUUUAGUUGGGCACUCUAGAGAGACCGCCGGUGAUAAACCGGAGGAAGGUGUGGAUGACGUCAAGUCAUCAUGCCCCUUACAUCCUGGGCUACACACGUACUACAAUGCUACGGACAAAGGGUUGCAAACUCGCGAGAGCUAGCUAAUCCCAUAAACCGUGGCUCAGUUCAGAUCGUAGGCUGCAACUCGCCUACGUGAAGGAGGAAUCGCUAGUAAUCGCAGGUCAGCAUACUGCGGUGAAUACGUUCCCGGGCCUUGUACACACCGCCCGUCACACCAUGGAAGUUGGCCACGCCCGAAGUCGUUACUCCAACCCGCAAGGGAGGAGGAUGCCGAAGGUGGGGCUGAUGACUGGGGUGAAGUCGUAACAAGGUAGCCGUACCGGAAGGUGCGGCUGGAUCACCUCCU
rnacentral:rRNA from 1 species